GAUGAACGCUGGCGGCGUGCCUAAUACAUGCAAGUCGAGCGAACAGAUGAGGAGCUUGCUCCUCUGACGUUAGCGGCGGACGGGUGAGUAACACGUGGAUAACCUACCUAUAAGACUGGGAUAACUUCGGGAAACCGGAGCUAAUACCGGAUAAUAUAUUGAACCGCAUGGUUCAAUAGUGAAAUACGGUUUUGCUGUCACUUAUAGAUGGAUCCGCGCCGCAUUAGCUAGUUGGUAAGGUAACGGCUUACCAAGGCAACGAUGCGUAGCCGACCGGAGAGGGUGAUCGGCCACACUGGAACUGAGACACGGUCCAGACUCCUACGGGAGGCAGCAGUAGGGAAUCUUCCGCAAUGGGCGAAAGCCUGACGGAGCAACGCCGCGUGAGUGAUGAAGGUCUUCGGAUCGUAAAACUCUGUUAUUAGGGAAGAACAAAUGUGUAAGUAAAUAUGCACGUCUUGACGGUACCUAAUCAGAAAGCCACGGCUAACUACGUG
rnacentral:rRNA from 1 species